GAUGAACGCUGGCGGCGUGCCUAAUACAUGCAAGUCGAGCGAACGGACGAGAAGCUUGCUUUUCUGAUGUUAGCGGCGGACGGGUGAGUAACACGUGGAUAACCUACCUAUAAGACUGGGAUAACUUCGGGAAACCGGAGCUAAUACCGGAUAAUAUUUUGAACCGCAUGGUUCAAAAGUGAAAGACGGUCUUGCUGUCACUUAUAGAUGGAUCCGCGCUGCAUUAGCUAGUUGGUAAGGUAACGGCUUACCAAGGCAACGAUGCAUAGCCGACCUGAGAGGGUGAUCGGCCACACUGGAACUGAGACACGGUCCAGACUCCUACGGGAGGCAGCAGUGGGGAAUCUUCCGCAAUGGGCGAAAGCCUGACGGAGCAACGCCGCGUGGGUGAUGAAGGUCUUCGGAUCGUAAAACUCUGUUAUUAGGGAAGAACAUAUGUGUAAGUAACUGUGCACAUCUUGACGGUACCUAAUCAGAAAGCCACGGCUAACUACGUG
rnacentral:rRNA from 1 species